GACGAGGGAUCCUAGCGUUGUUCGGAAUCAUUGGGCGUAAAGCGGGUGCAGGUGGCUUUGUAAGUCAGGUGUGAAAGCCCAGGGCUUAACCCUGGAAGUGCAUUUGAUACUGCGAAGCUUGAGUGCUGGAGAGGUUACUAGAAUUCCUGGUGUAGUGGUGAAAUACGUAGAUAUCAGGAGGAAUACCGGUGGCGAAGGCGGGUAACUGGCCAGACACUGACACUCAGACCCGAAAGCGUGGGGAUCAAACAGG
rnacentral:rRNA from 1 species